CUGGUCCGGCCGGGCCUUUCCUUCUGGGGAACCUCAUGCCCUUCACUGGGCGUGCUGGGGAACCAGGACUUUUACUUUGAAAAAAUUAGAGUGUUCAAAGCAGGCCUUUGCUCGAAUACAUUAGCAUGGAAUAAUAGAAUAGGACGUGUGGUUCUAUUUUGUUGGUUUCUAGGACCGCCGUAAUGAUUAAUAGGGAUAGUCGGGGGCAUCAGUAUUCAAGCGUCAGAGGUGAAAUUCUUGGAUUGCUUGAAGACUAACUACUGCGAAAGCAUUUGCCAAGGAUGUUUUCAUUAAUCAGUGAACGAAAGUUAGGGGAUCGAAGACGAUCAGAUACCGUCGUAGUCUUAACCAUAAACUAUGCCGACUAGGGAUCGGACGGUGUUAGUAUUUUGACCCGUUCGGCACCUUACGAGAAAUCAAAGUUUUUGGGUUCUGGGGGGAGUAUGGUCGCAAGGCUGAAACUUAAAGAAAUUGACGGAAGGGCACCACCAGGCGUGGAGCCUGCGGCUUAAUUUGACUCAACACGGGGAAACUCACCAGGUCCAGACACAAUAAGGAUUGACAGAUUGAGAGCUCUUUCUUGAUUUUGUGGGUGGUGGUGCAUGGCCGUUCUUAGUUGGUGGAGUGAUUUGUCUGCUUAAUUGCGAUAACGAACGAGACCUUAACCUGCUAAAUAGCCAGGCCCGCUUUGGGCGGGGUCGCCGGCUUUCUUAGAGGGGACUAUCGCUCAGCCCGAUGGAAGUUUGAGGCAAUAACAGGUCUGUGAUGCCCUUAAAUGUUCUGGGCCGCACGC
rnacentral:rRNA from 1 species